rnacentral:sRNA from 1 species
UUUUUCACUGAAAGAUAUAUUUUAUAUUCAAGAUUGUAACCAAAUAUACAAAAAGUUAGGAUCAAGGACAAUCAUUCUAGAUCAACCACGUUGAAUAUUACACUAAGCAAUACUUCUUUCUUUCUCAAAAAGAUGUUUCAGCCAAAAAGGAAAUCCGCUUGCUACAUACGAUUGGCGGCGAUCCUCCAUUGUCACGCUCUUGGCAAUAAGAUGAGCUCCAAGAUUAGAGCUUCUUACUUCACCACACAAUUUCCAAUCCAAGAUCAUUUUAGUCCAAAACC